rnacentral:rRNA from 1 species
AGGCUGCAACCCGCCUGCAUGAAGCUGGAAUCGCUAGUAAUCGCGGAUCAGAAUGCCGCGGUGAAUACGUUCCCGGGUCUUGUACACACCGCCCGUCACACCAUGGGAGUCGGUAACGCCCGAAGUCAGUGACCCAACCGGAAGGAGGGAGCUGCCGAAGGCGGGACUGGUAACUGGGGUGAAGUCGUAACAAGGUAUC